rnacentral:rRNA from 1 species
AUUGAACGCUGGCGGCAUGCUUUACACAUGCAAGUCGAGCGGCAGCGCGGGGGCAACCCUGGCGGCGAGCGGCGAACGGGUGAGUAAUACAUCGGAACGUGUCCCGUAGUGGGGAAUAGCUCGGCGAAAGCCGGAUUAAUACCGCAUAUGCUCUACGGAGGAAAGCGGGGGAUCCGCAAGGACCUCGCGCUAUGGGAGCGGCCGAUGUCCGAUUAGCUUGUUGGUGGGGUAACGGCCUACCAAGGCGACGAUCGGUAGCUGGUCUGAGAG